rnacentral:rRNA from 1 species
GGGGGGGCUAUACAUGCAGUCGAGCGAAUGGAUUAAGAGCUUGCUCUUAUGAAGUUAGCGGCGGACGGGUGAGUAACACGUGGGUAACCUGCCCAUAAGACUGGGAUAACUCCGGGAAACCGGGGCUAAUACCGGAUAACAUUUUGAACCGCAUGGUUCGAAAUUGAAAGGCGGCUUCGGCUGUCACUUAUGGAUGGACCCGCGUCGCAUUAGCUAGUUGGUGAGGUAACGGCUCACCAAGGCAACGAUGCGUAGCCGACCUGAGAGGGUGAUCGGCCACACUGGGACUGAGACACGGCCCAGACUCCUACGGGAGGCAGCAGUAGGGAAUCUUCCGCAAUGGACGAAAGUCUGACGGAGCAACGCCGCGUGAGUGAUGAAGGCUUUCGGGUCGUAAAACUCUGUUGUUAGGGAAGAACAAGUGCUAGUUGAAUAAGCUGGCACCUUGACGGUACCUAACCAGAAAGCCACGGCUAACUACGUGCCAGCAGCCGCGGUAAUACGUAGGUGGCAAGCGUUAUCCGGAAUUAUUGGGCGUAAAGCGCGCGCAGGUGGUUUCUUAAGUCUGAUGUGAAAGCCCACGGCUCAACCGUGGAGGGUCAUUGGAAACUGGGAGACUUGAGUGCAGAAGAGGAAAGUGGAAUUCCAUGUGUAGCGGUGA